CCUACGGGAGGCUGCAGUGAGGAAUAUUGGUCAAUGGACGCAAGUCUGAACCAGCCAUGCCGCGUGCAGGACGAAGGUUCUAUGAGUUGUAAACUGCUUUUGUACGAGGGUAAACGCAGCCACGCGAAUCUGUCUGAAAGUAUCGUACGAAAAAGGAUCGGCUAACUCCGUGCCAGCAGCCGCGGUAAUACGGAGGAUUCAAGCGUUAUCCGGAUUUAUUGGGUUUAAAGGGUGCGUAGGCGGUCGGGUAAGUUAGAGGUGAAAUCCCGGGGCUCAACUUCGGAUGUGCCUCUGAUACUGGUCGGCUAGAGAGGAGUAGCGGUAGGCGGAAUGUAUGGUGUAGCGGUGAAAUGCUUAGAGAU
rnacentral:rRNA from 1 species